rnacentral:rRNA from 1 species
UACGUAGGGUCCGAGCGUUGUCCGGAAUUAUUGGGCGUAAAGAGCUCGUAGGCGGUUUGUCGCGUCUGCUGUGAAAUCCCGAGGCUCAACCUCGGGCCUGCAGUGGGUACGGGCAGACUGGAGUGCGGUAGGGGAGAAUGGAAUUCCUGGUGUAGCGGUGGAAUGCGCAGAUAUCAGGAGGAACACCGAUGGCGAAGGCAGUUCUCUGGGCCGUAACUGACGCUGAGGCACGAAGGCCAGGGGAGCAAACGGG